ACGUCAUUAGCUCAGCAGGAAGAGCGGCAGCGAAGUUGGCGGACUGGGGUUCGAUUCCUCGAUGACGUUCCA
rnacentral:tRNA from 12 species